GUUGGAAUGUUAAAUGGUGUCUGUCGUGAACGAACCGGCCCCGCCGUAGGUUGUUUCUAAGGCGAGUGGUCAUUCAUGGUAGAGAUAAAAUUUGUUUAUGUUUUAUUUUGAAAUUAGGAUUAUAGGUUCAUGACUUCCAACAGACUCAAGAAUCUGUUGUUAAUUACCCCACACUUUCGGUGUUAAAGAAUCCUCGAUUAAGAGACCAAAUAUAAAUGCUGAUAAUAAAAGAGACAAAACAGGCAAAUAAAAUUUUAUUGAUAUGAUUUGCCGUUUACAUGGCUUAAGCAGGGGCAUUCCCCCACUGUCCAUGAAUUUUAUCAGACUAAAUGUCCAAUCUAGAGAAGAAGUUUUGAUUUAUUGAAUCCUAAGUGUAUGUAUUAGGAUUCAGUUGGAUUUGAGAUUGACUAGAUCCUAAGUAUAUGUGUUAAGACUUAGUCGAUCUUAGACUCUAUGUAUUAGAGUCUAAUUGGCUCUAAGUAUAUGUCUUGCAUUAGAGUUCGAUUAUGUCCACCUUGGUUAUAUGUUCCAAGAUGGAAAUGUGACCAGACCUCAGGUAUAUGUAUUGAGGUGGGUCGAAUUACCCGAAAGUAGGGAGUGUCUAAUUCCUGAGUAAAUGUAUCAGGAUUAAUUGAGUUUCACUCUAGUUAUAUGUGCUAGAAUGAAGAUUUGACUAAGCCCUAAGUAUAUGUAUUAGAGGUAGUCGGAUUUGAACUCUAAGUAUAUGUAUUCGAGCUCGAUCGGGUAAAGAUUUCACUCUAGGUAUAUGUGCUAGAGCGAAAGGCUGACUAGACCCUAAGGCCCUGUUUGGUUGGGGAACAAAGAUGGGGAUAAGGGGUUAUCCCCUCCUUGUUCCCCAAACACUAUAUCUAAGGGUGGGAACAAGCUAUUCCCGCCCUUAACGNUAGCUGGUUGGGGCAUGACAGUAGCUAGGAUGUCCUCAGUGAUGGUGCCGAACUGGAUGGUGACACCGGCAGCCUCUAUCUCCAUCAUAGAAGCGGGAAAGCGGAUUUGCGCUGCAUUGACCGUGGUGUUGUUUGAUGCCAUUGCUCUUCAUAUAUAAGACAACAGAUGUCAGUUGUGCAUAUAAAUAUAUUUUGGUCUUUUAUCAGCAUUUAUUAAUUAGGUCUCAAAGAUGGAGGGUGAAGCCAUGUCCCACCGGGCGUGCCAUUUUGUCUGCCCCGAACGAACCAGCCCCGCCGUAGGUUGUUUCUAAGGCGAGUGGUCAUUCAUGGUAGAGAUAAAAUUUGUUUAUGUUUUAUUUUGAAAUCAGGAUUAUAGGUUCAUGGCUUCCAACAGACUCAAGAAUCUGUUGUUAAUUACCCCACACUUUCGGUGUUAAGGAACCCUCGAUUAAGAGACCAAAUAUAAAUGCUGAUAAUAAAAGAGACAAAACAGGCAAAUAAAAUUUUAUUGAUAUGAUUUGUCGUUUACAUGGCUUAAGCAGGGGCAUUCCCCUAUUGUACAUGAAUUUUAUCAGACUAAAUAUCCAAUCUAGCGAAGAAGUUUUGAUUUAUUGAAUCCUAAGUAUAUGUAUUAGGAUUCAGUUGGAUUUGAGAUUGACUAGAUCCUAAGUAUAUGUGUUAAGA
rnacentral:lncRNA from 1 species